UAACGCGUGGGAAUCUGCCCUGGAGUGGGGGAUAACCGAGGGAAACCUCGGCUAAUACCGCAUACGGCCUGAGGGCGAAAGAUUUAUCGCUCUAGGAGGGGCCCGCGUCGGAUUAGCUUGUUGGCGGGGUAACGGCCCACCAAGGCUAUGAUCCGUAGCUGGUCUGAGAGGAUGAUCAGCCACACUGGGACUGAGAUACGGCCCAGACUCCUACGGGAGGCAGCAGUGGGGAAUAUUGGACAAUGGGCGCAAGCCUGAUCCAGCCAUGCCGCGUGAGUGAUGAAGGCCUUAGGGUUGU
rnacentral:rRNA from 1 species